GUAAUGGAUUGUUAUAAUGCCUUCAUAGCUUUAUUGGAAUUUAUUAUUUUUAGCCAUUUGUUUUAUUCUAUUCAUUAUUACUGCAAGGUACUCGGAGGUAGGUGUGAGCCAGCUUCAGUCAGCUGACCGGCUGUGGCUAACUGCCAGAGUGGUCAGGAGCACUUGGCACGUCGGGGGAAUGUCAUCUGCAUGCAGAACACAUGGAGCCUGGAGCAGAGAAGACACCAGUCAUGGCCCGACAAGCACAGCUGCAGCCUUGGCUGGACUAGAAACAGGAGAGAGCUGGGAGGGGAGAGACUGGCUUUGAGGAAGAAUGAGAAGAUGCAUGGGAAUACCUGACAACAGCAGCAGAGGGCGAAGGUGUGGUGCCAGAGAGAGACCGGGAAGAAGGUCAGGGAGGGGUGUUGCCCUGUCCUGCAGAAGGGAGGUGUGUCAACUCAAAGAUCCAGCUCCUCCCAUCUAGCCAGCCAACAGGAGUAUGCAAGAAGGGGUCCUCCUAGCAUCUCCAGCAUGGCCCAGGAGACCAUGGGGACCUGCAACGCUGCCAGAAGCCUUCUAUGCACGUCCCUGCUAGCUCAUCCCUUUCACCCCAGUAACAACCAAGUGUCCCCAGAUGUAUCCAUGAUGCUCUUCAGCUAGGACCAUGUCGUGGCUCAUCCUGCUGAAACUUCUGAUCCACAAAGCCAAUAUUUCCUGGAUCAUGAUGACAGACUGCAAGUAUGGCUCACAUAUUGCUGAUGCAUCCAUAUGGCCUCAUAUAAACUGAACAUCUGCUGUAAAGUCAGAAAGAAAGAGGGGCCACAGAUGCACACAGAAAGAGAUAUAAUGUUGGGCAUGUGAAUGAAACAUAUUUUUGCCAAGUCAGCUGUUCAACCUUUCCUUAGAUUUCAGGCUAAAACAUGAGACGAGCAGGUGGGCCUUUGUGAUAUCACAGCUGGUUGGCCCUUGCAAAAUUGUGUGUAUGUGUGUAGCACUGCUCACUCUGAGUUUGGUGUCCCCAUUGGAAGACCCAGGGAAGCCAUUCCCAGAGAAUUCAGCCAGUGGUCUGAAACCAGGAAUUGAAACUCUAAACAUGUUGGGUGAACUCAGAGU
rnacentral:lncRNA from 1 species